UACGGAGGAUCCAAGCGGUAUCCGGAAUCAUUGGGUUUAAAGGGUCCGUAGGCGGUUUUUUAAGUCAGUGGUGAAAGCCCAUCGCUCAACGGUGGAACGGCCAUUGAUACUGCAAGACUUGAAUUAUUAGGAAGUAACUAGAAUAUGUAGUGUAGCGGUGAAAUGCUUAGAGAUUACAUGGAAUACCAAUUGCGAAGGCAGGUUACUACUAAUAUAUUGACGCUGAUGGACGAAAGCGUGGGGAGCGAACAGG
rnacentral:rRNA from 1 species